UUUUUGUCUAUUUUUUUUUUUUUUUUUUUUUUUUUAAGGUGAUCGCACAAUGUCUCUGCUGUGUCUUUAAAAACAAUAAUAAUUUUUAUAGCAUUUUUUUUGUAGGUGUACUACAGGGUUAACCCAUCAGCAAAUGAAGAACAUUCAAACUCUGAAGUUCAGAUUGGGUUUGUUAUUAUUAUUAUUAUUAUUGCAUGUUGGUAUGGAAUACUUAAUUCUGAUUGUCAAUUAUAGCAUCUAGCAGUCAAAAAUUCAGAAAAGUAAAGGGUUUUUUUUUUUUUUUUUUUUUUUUUUAAGGGAGGACUUUGUGGUUGUAACAGACACAGAGGAAGAACCGGUUAUGUUGGGCUCUCCUGAUUACACCAAUACAGACUCUGUGAGUACAUACUAACCAGGCACUUUAGAUGAAAUGUAUAGCUAACAAUAACAAUUAUGUUACAUUUCUCAACCUUUAUUUAGGAAGAAGCAGAUUUGGCUGACAUUCUGAGAUCAUUCCAGAAAGACACUGAAAAUUGUGCCAUUGUUGUUGCAAGACGGUCAAAAAUUCUUCACAGUGCCUGUCAAGCUCUGUCAAAGAGCUACUUUGCUUGGCACAGAACUCCACGAAUUGAGUUUGUUGGAGAGUCUGCUGAAGAUCAUGGUGGGCCACAAAGAGAGUUCUUUAGGCUCUUAAUGAUCGCAAGCAAGCAAGGCCAGGUUUUUUUUGCCUACAACCAGUCAGCCUUAGAACAGAACCGGUUUUACACAUGUGGAAAACUCAUUGCUUGGUCACUGAUUCAUGGAGGCCAAGCAUUAAAGCCCUUCAUCCAGCUUUGUAUUUGUUGAUGUGUGGACAGGAAGGGCAGUUGGAUAGGUUUGAUUUUCAGGACUUGCCUGAUGAUGAAGUGCAGUUAAAGUUGCAACAGAUCAAGCAGUGCAAAAGUGUGGGAGACCUAAUUUCACUGAAGGCCUCUCUUGGAGACUGGAUUGCAGAAUGUGGGGUACCCUGGAUCUACAAUGCUGGCCUUCCUGAAAUGCCCAGAGUUUACAGCAUGGUCAUUAAACACUUCAUUUAUCUUAGGCCUGCUAGCAUGAUUUUACAGUUUAAGGCAGGAAUUAAUUCAUGUGGAUCCCUUUGGCAGACAGUGGAAAACAACUGGAUGGCAUUCAAGCCUCUGUUCACUAACACACAGAAGCCACUGACGAGAAAUGAGUUCAAAGACCUUCUUGUUGUGAACUGGAGUGAUGAAGGCAGCAACCACAGACAGAUUGAAGAGGACACCAUCUUUGCUUGGGAAUGUUUACUCAACAGCAUUCAGGAAAAAGAGACCUCUCUGAUGUUUGAGGAUCUUCAUGACCGGUGCUGAUGCUGUCCCUCCUCUUGGCUUUCCCAAAAAAGCUGAAAUUGACUUCUACACUCAAGAAGACGGAUGCCGGAGACUGCCUUAUGCAUCAACAUGCUCAAUGGUGGUUUUCCUUCCAAGAGGGGUACUUGAUGAAUCAGAGUUACAAAACCUGCUGAUAGAUGCAGUAAAAGGCUCAGUUGGGUUUGGAAAAAUUUAGAUCUGUUAUAAUAUUCUUUAUUAUUUUGCUCUGGAUCAUGUUCUUCAUCAUGCUGCCCUGAUUUUCCAAAUGUUCAAUAUAUUAGAGAGUAAUAGUUAACCGUAAAAUGAAAAUGAUCCCAUAAUUUAUUCAUCCUAGUUGUAUAGGACUUUCUUCUUUCAGCCGAACACAA